GACGAACGCUGGCGGCGUGCCUAAUACAUGCAAGUCGAGCGCAGGAAGCCGUCUGAACCCUUCGGGGGGACGACGAUGGAAUGAGCGGCGGACGGGUGAGUAACACGUAAAGAACCUGCCCAUAGGUCUGGGAUAACCACGAGAAAUCGGGGCUAAUACCGGAUGUGUCAUCGGACCGCAUGGUCCGCUGAUGAAAGGCGCCCCGGCGUCGCCCAUGGCUGGCUUUGGGGUGCAUUAGCUAGGUGGUGGGGUAACGGCCCACCAAGGCGACGAUGCAUAGCCGACCUGAGAGGGUGAUCGGCCACACUGGGACUGAGACACGGCCCAGACUCCUACGGGAGGCAGCAGUAGGGAAUCUUCCACAAUGGACGAAAGUCUGAUGGAGCAACGCCGCGUGAACGAUGAAGGCUUUCGGGUCGUAAAGUUCUGUUGUAAGGGAAGAACAAGUGCCGCAGGCAAUGGCGGCACCUUGACGGUACCUUGCGAGAAAGCCACGGCUAACUACGUGCCAGCAGCCGCUGUAACAC
rnacentral:rRNA from 1 species